rnacentral:rRNA from 1 species
GUGAACGCUGGCGGCGUGCCUAACACAUGUAAGUCGAACGAUGAUGGAGAGCUUGCUCUCCUGAUUAGUGGCGCACGGGUGAGUAUACCAUAGAUAAUGUACCUCUUAGUUUGGGAUAGCCACUGGAAACGGUGAUUAAUACCAGAUACUCCUUCUCGUUAUAAGACGAGUCGGGAAAGUUUUUUCGCUAAGAGAUCAGUCUAUGUCCUAUCAGCUAGUUGGUGAGGUAAUGGCUCACCAAGGCUAUGACGGGUAUCUGGUUUGAGAGGAUGAUCAGACACACUGGAACUGAGACACGGUCCAGACUCCUACGGGAGGCAGCAGUGAGGAAUAUUGCACAAUGGGGGGAACCCUGAUGCAGCAACGCCGCGUGGAGGAUGACGCAUUUCGGUGUGUAAACUCCUUUUAUAUGUCAAGAAAAUGACGGUAGCAUAUGAAUAAGCACCGGCUAACUCCGU